UUUUCCUGUGAAGGGGACGGAAACUGGUAGCGAUGGCUGCUAUCCGUGGACUUCACUAGUGUCAGUCUGGACCCUCUGAUGCUGCCGUGAUUGGCACAACAAAAGAGUCACGACUCGUACAGCGCUGCUCGUGCAGGAGUGUCUUUCACUGCGUACAGUUGUCUUUGAAUGUUGACCUUGGUACGGAGCUCCCUAGCGACUAAGUAGUGAAGGAAUACAUGUAUACGAGAUCAAACCUGCACUCGGGCCUUACCUUGCACCAGCGGUCUGAUGUCUGACUUUUUGAAGAGCCUUUGCUCCAGCCACACUUGUCAAACACUUCUGCUGAAAUUAACUAGGAAAAGGACCUCCAUUCUUUUACGACUAAUCAAAUCUGGAAAACAACUCUUCAACUUUGACGCCAAACAAGAAUAUCUGAAAUUCUGAACCACAUGAAGGACUAAUCAAACUUACACUUGAGUGACAACAAUAACCUGGCCAGCAUGAAAACUGGUCAUCACAAGGUUUCAUUCACAGUAUUAAAGACCGAAGCUCAGCAGAAAGGAACAGAAGAUGGUGAGGGGCUUUCUAAUGAGACAAGGGGGAUGAGGAGAUAAAGUGUCCAGAGCCACAACACCAUUAAAAUCUUCACUGGGAAGAAGCCCUUUCGUACACGCUGAGUGCUUUGUUGUACCGAGUGCCGUUGAGACAGAAUGCUAUCUGCGGCUGAGAAUAACUGCACACCUGCUGAAUCCACACCUCAAGUGCCUGUGAUUCCACACCACUCCUAUUGGAGCACCUCUCCACAAGCAUUUAACUCCUUCAAGUCAUCAAUAAUUCCUCUUUUGAAAUCAGAGUUCAUAAGGACGCACAGUCUGAAAAUGAUGGCAGGAUAAAUCAAACUCUCCAGUGGUGACUCUUUGGACUUCUCCAUGGCACACACCCAAGUAUGAAGCUUCUCAUGUUUUCGAGGGAGAUAGUAGCCUAACUUCACUUUGCAUGGCAGUAAAGAACAGCAAUUGAAUCUGAGCCUUUGUUCUUAUCUUCAUCAGACACACCUGAGAUACAGCCAAGGCUCUUGGGAAUGACAGUGGUGCAAAAGAGAAGGGGCCUGUGGAAUCGAGUGAUGGGAGAGGUAGAGAGGGACAGAGAGAUGGAAUGGAGAAAAAGAAAGAGAAGGAGAGAGAGAGAGAGAGAGAGAGAGCACUAGAACAUGGAACUCUCUCCCUCAUCCUCUCACUCUCUCUCAUACACACACACAAAAACACAAAAAGACUGACAGGCUGCAGCUUCAAAGCUUCAGCUUCUCUCUAUCCUUCCUUUGGUGUGGAAUUUCAAUGCACUAUUUCAUUUUUCAUUGGGGGGUUGAGGAGGGCGAAGAAGCUGGGGCAAGAUGAGUGUGUAUUCUUUCAAUGAUCCACUUCUGUCCCACAGUGGCGCUGAUGUUUUUCAGUAAACUAAUAUCAACACAAAUCCAGCCAAACUCCAAAUGAACAACAUGUGAGGUUGUCUGGAAGUUUAGGACACGUUGUAUUUGGAAACUACAAACUCAGCAGAUGGCAGGCAAUAAAAUGUAGCAAUAAAAUAACAAUUUACUAAAUA